rnacentral:misc_RNA from 1 species
AACUUUCGGCAACGGAUCUCUUGGUUCUGGCAUCGAUGAAGAACGCAGCGAGAUGCGAUAAGUAAUGUGAAUUGCAGAAUUCAGUGAAUCAUCGAAUCUCUGAACGCACAUUGCACCCUCUGGCAUUCCGGGGGGUAUGCCUGUUCGAGCGUCAUUACAACCCUCAAGCCUUGCUUGGUGUUGGGUGCCACCUGUCACAGGGUGCACCUCAAAAUCAGUGGCGGUGCGGCCUGGCUUCAAGCGUAGUAACUCUUCUCGCUCCGGAGCCCAGGCGGCAUACCUGCCACCAACCUCAAACACAUCAAAGGUUGACCUCGGAUCAGGUAGGGAUACCCGCUGAACUUAAGCAUAUCAAUAAGCGGAGGCU